rnacentral:rRNA from 1 species
UUAGAGUUUGAUCCUGGCUCAGGAUGUACGCUAGCGGGAGGCCUAACACAUGCAAGCCGAGCGGUAGAGAUCUUUCGGGAUCUUGAGAGCGGCGUACGGGUGCGGAACACGUGUGCAACCUGCCUUUAUCUGGGGGAUAGCCUUUCGAAAGGAAGAUUAAUACCCCAUAAUAUGUUGGAUGGCAUCAUUCGACAUUGAAAACUCCGGUGGAUAGAGAUGGGCACGCGCAAGAUUAGAUAGUUGGUGAGGUAACGGCUCACCAAGUCUACGAUCUUUAGGGGGCCUGAGAGGGUGAUCCCCCACACUGGUACUGAGACACGGACCAGACUCCUACGGGAGGCAGCAGUGAGGAAUAUUGGACAAUGGGUGAGAGCCUGAUCCAGCCAUCCCGCGUGAAGGACGACUGCCCUAUGGGUUGUAAACUUCUUUUGUAUAGGGAUAAACCUACCCUCGUGAGGGUAGCUGAAGGUACUAUACGAAUAAGCACCGGCUAACUCCGUGCCAGCAGCCGCGGUAAUACGGAGGGUGCAAGCGUUAUCCGGAUUUAUUGGGUUUAAAGGGUCCGUAGGCGGAUCUGUAAGUCAGUGGUGAAAUCUCACAGCUUAACUGUGAAACUGCCAUUGAUACUGCAGGUCUUGAGUGUUGUUGAAGUAGCUGGAAUAAGUAGUGUAGCGGUGAAAUGCAUAGAUAUUACUUAGAACACCAAUUGCGAAGGCAGGUUACUAAGCAACAACUGACGCUGAUGGACGAAAGCGUGGGGAGCGAACAGGAUUAGAUACCCUGGUAGUCCACGCCGUAAACGAUGCUAACUCGUUUUUGGGCUUUCGGGUUCAGAGACUAAGCGAAAGUGAUAAGUUAGCCACCUGGGGGGUACGUUCGCAAGAAUGAAACUCAAAGGAAUUGACGGGGGCCCGCACAAGCGGUGGAUUAUGUGGUUUAAUUCGAUGAUACGCGAGGAACCUUACCAAGGCUUAAAUGGGAAAUGACAGGUUUAGAAAUAGACUUUUCUUCGGACAUUUUUCAAGGUGCUGCAUGGUUGUCGUCAGCUCGUGCCGUGAGGUGUUAGGUUAAGUCCUGCAACGAGCGCAACCCCUGUCACUAGUUGCCAUCAUUAAGUUGGGGACUCUAGUGAGACUGCCUACGCAAGUAGAGAGGAAGGUGGGGAUGACGUCAAAUCAUCACGGCCCUUACGCCUUGGGCCACACACGUAAUACAAUGGCCGGUACAGAGGGCAGCUACACAGUGAUGUGAUGCAAAUCUCGAAAGCCGGUCUCAGUUCGGAUUGGAGUCUGCAACUCGACUCUAUGGAGCUGGAAUCGCUAGUAAUCGCGCAUCAAACAUGGCGCGGUGAAUACGUUCCCGGGCCUUGCACUCUAAGGGCGUCAAG